GUAGUCUCGCACAGAUGCAUAUCAAUAAGCGGAGGAAAAGAAACUAACAAGGAUUCCCUCAGUAACGGCGAGUGAAGCGGGAAGAGCUCAAAUUUGAAAUCUUGAAAGGUCACCUUUCACGAAUUGUAGUUUAAAGAAGUGUUUUCUGUUACGAUCGUAAUAUAAGUUCUUUGGAAUAGGACAUCACAGAGGGUGAGAAUCCCGUCUAUGAUUGCGAUUUGUAGCUUUGUGAUACACUUUCAAAGAGUCGGGUUGUUUGGGAAUGCAGCCCAAAACGGGAGGUAAAUUUCUUCUAAGGCUAAAUAUUGGCGAGAGACCGAUAGCGAACAAGUACCGUGAGGGAAAGAUGAAAAGAACUUUGAAAAGAGAGUUAAAUAGUACGUGAAAUUGUCAAAAGGGAAGCGUUUAACACCAGUGUUGUUUUCUGAAAAUCAACCUCUGUUAGCUUUAUGCAUGUUUGUUUAGACCUAAUCAGCUAUCUUUCAUGUUCUAUUGUUUGCAGUGGUGCACUUUUCAGUUUACAGGUCAACAUCAGUUUUUUUUACCGUAAAAAAGUUAAAGAAAGGUAGCUCAUGGCUCCGGUCGUGAGUGUUAUAGUCUUUUUCCUAUGCGGUAGGAGAGACUGAGGUCUGCAGCGUAGAUCCUUCGGGGUUAGAUACGUUUGUGCUAAGCUACUAGCUUUUCAUAGACAACUUGUUGACUAUGUUUAGUCUUGUGACUUACUCCGCUUAUGCUAUUUUACCUACGCUUAGGAUGUUGAGCGCAUGUCUCUCUCU
rnacentral:rRNA from 1 species